AUUAGCUCAGGCGGUAGAGCACCUGACUUUUAAUCAGGGUGUCGCAGGUUCGAGUCCUGCAUG
rnacentral:tRNA from 1 species